rnacentral:rRNA from 1 species
GACCCGUCUUGAACCACGGAGUCUAGCAUGUGYGCAAGUCAUAGGGUUUUUAAAACCUAAAGGCGAAAUGAAAGUAAAGAGACUUAUAUAUAUAUAUAUGGGUGGAGGGAAGAUGUGUAAUCUAUCAUAUUAACACCGCACUCCCGGRAUGUCUCAAAUUGCGAUUAGAGGCGUACCUAGAGCAUACACGCUGCGACCCGAAAGAUGGUGAACUAUGCCUGGUCAGGUGGAAGUCAGGGGAAACCCUGAUGGAGGACCGUAGCGAUUCUGACGUGCAAAUCGAUCGUUCGAACUGGGUAUAGGGGCGAAAGACUAAUCGAACCAUCUAGUAGCUGGUUCCUUCCGA